rnacentral:rRNA from 1 species
UCUACCUAGUAGUAUAGGAUAGCCACUAGAAAUGGUGGGUAAUACUGUAUAAUCCCUGCGGGGGAAAGAUUUAUCGCUACUAGAUGAGCCUAUGUCAGAUUAGCUAGUUGGUGGGGUAAUGGCCCACCAAGGCUGUGAUCUGUAGCUGGUCUGAGAAGAUGAUCAGCCACACUGGAACUGAGACACGGUCCGGACUCCUACGGGAGGCAGCAGCGGGGAAUAUUGGACAAUGGGCGCAAGCCUGAUCCAGCUAUGCCGCGUGAGUGAGGAAGGCCUUAGGGUUGUAAAACUCUUUCAGUAGGGAAGAUAAUGACGGUACCUACAGAAGAAGUCCCGGCAAACUCCGUGCCAGCAGCCGCGGUAAUACGGAGGGGGCAAGCGUUGUUCGGAAUUAUUGGGCGUAAAGGGCAUGUAGGCGGUUUGGUAAGUUAAAGGUGAAAUACCAGGGCUUAA